GACGAACGCUGGCGGUGUGCUUAACACAUGCAAGUCGAACGAAGAGCGAUGGAAGCUUGCUUCUAUCAAUCUUAGUGGCGAACGGGUGAGUAACGCGUAAUCAACCUGCCCUUCAGAGGGGGACAACAGUUGGAAACGACUGCUAAUACCGCAUACGAUCUAAUCUCGGCAUCGAGGAUAGAUGAAAGGUGGCCUCUACAUGUAAGCUAUCACUGAAGGAGGGGAUUGCGUCUGAUUAGCUAGUUGGAGGGGUAACGGCCCACCAAGGCGAUGAUCAGUAGCCGGUCUGAGAGGGUGAACGGCCACAUUGGGACUGAGACACGGCCCAGACUCCUACGGGAGGCAGCAGUGGGGAAUCUUCCGCAAUGGACGAAAGUCUGACGGAGCAACGCCGCGUGAGUGAUGACGGCCUUCGGGUUGUAAAGCUCUGUUAAUCGGGACGAAAGGCCUUCUUGCGAAUAGUGAGAAGGAUUGACGGUACCGGAAUAGAAAGCCACGGCUAACUACGUG
rnacentral:rRNA from 1 species